GGAAAUGGGCUCCCGAAGUCCCUUUGUCCCCAAUAGCAGAGAACCAGUCUUUGGUCAAGGGUACACGAGUAGCUGCACUCCCCUGCUAGAACCUCCAAACAAGCUCUCAAGGUCUAACAGUGUAAAUAAUUUAGAGUCAAGUAUCUUGGAUUCAGUCAUGUUCUGGACUCCAAAGUGCAUGGACAGUUGUAUUUC
ensembl:misc_RNA 7SK 7SK RNA